CGGAACACGUACGCAACCUUCCUUUAACUGGAGAAUAGCCCCUCGAAAGAGGGAUUAAUACUCCGUAACAUAUACAUGUGGCAUCACAAGUAUAUUAUAGCUCUGGCGGUUAAAGAUGGGCGUGCGCCUGAUUAGAUAGUUGGCGGGGUAACGGCCCACCAAGUCUGCGAUCAGUAACUGGUGUGAGAGCACGACCAGUCACACGGGCACUGAGACACGGGCCCG
rnacentral:rRNA from 1 species